CCACAAUGGAACGAAAGUCUGAUGGAGCAACGCCGCGUGAGUGAAGAAGGGUUUCGGCUCGUAAAGCUCUGUUGGUAGUGAAGAAAGAUAGAGGUAGUAACUGGCCUUUAUUUGACGGUAAUUACUUAGAAAGUCACGGCUAACUACGUGCC
rnacentral:rRNA from 1 species